UACGUAGGGUGCGAGCGUUAAUCGGAAUUACUGGGCGUAAAGCGUGCGUAGGUGGUUCGUUAAGUCUGAUGUGAAAGCCCUGGGCUCAACCUGGGAAUGGCAUUGGAAACUGGCGACCUAGAGUGCGGUAGAGGGUAGUGGAAUUCCCGGUGUAGCAGUGAAAUGCGUAGAGAUCGGGAGGAACAUCCGUGGCGAAGGCGACUACCUGGACCAGCACUGACACUGGGGCACGAAAGCGUGGGGAGCAAACAGG
rnacentral:rRNA from 1 species